rnacentral:rRNA from 1 species
ACAGGGAUUCCCCUAGUAACGGCGAGUGAAGCGGGAACAGCUCAAAUUUGAAAUCUGGCCCUUGGGUCCGAGUUGUAAUUUGUAGAGGAUGCUUUUGGUGCGGUGCCUUCCGAGUUCCCUGGAACGGGACGCCUUAGAGGGUGAGAGCCCCGUACGGUUGGACGCCUAGCCUCUGUAAAGCUCCUUCGACGAGUCGAGUAGUUUGGGAAUGCUGCUCUAAAUGGGAGGUAUAUUUCUUCUAAAGCUAAAUACUGGCCAGAGACCGAUAGCGCACAAGUAGAGUGAUCGAAAGAUGAAAAGCACUUUGAAAAGAGGGUUAAAUAGCACGUGAAAUUGUUGAAAGGGAAGCGUUUAUCACCAGACUUUUUCUAGGGGGAUCAUCCGGUGUUCUCACCGGUGCACUUCCCCUAGUUGAGGCCAGCAUCGGUUUUCGGAGGGGGAUAAAAGCUUCGGGAAUGUGACUCCCUCGGGAGUGUUAUAGCCCGUUGCAUAAUACCCUUCUGGGGACCGAGGUUCGCGCAUCUGCAAGGAUGCUGGCAUAAUGGUGAUCAACGACCCGUCUUGAAACACGGACCAAGGAGUCGAACAUUUAUGCGAGUGUUUGGGUGUUAAACCCUCACGCGUAAUGAAAGUGAACGGAGGUGAGAGCCCUUACGGGUGCAUCAUCGACCGAUCCUGAUGUCUUCGGAUGGAUUUGAGUAAGAGCAUAACUGUUCGGACCCGAAAGAUGGUGAACUAUGCGUGGAUAGGGUGAAGCCAGGAGAAAUCCUGGUGGAGGCUCGCAGCGGUUCUGACGUGCAAAUCGAUCGUCAAAUCUGCGCAUGGGGGCGAAAGACUAAUCGAACCAUC